rnacentral:rRNA from 1 species
UACGUAGGGUGCAGGCGUUAAUCGGAAUUACUGGGCGUAAAGCGUGCGCAGGCGGUUUCUUAAGUCAGAUUUGAAAGCCCCGGGCUUAACCUGGGAACUGCGUUUGAAACUGGGAAACUUGAGUGUGGCAGAGGGGGGUGGAAUUCCACGUGUAGCAGUGAAAUGCGUAGAUAUGUGGAGGAACACCGAUGGCGAAGGCAGCCCCCUGGGUUAACACUGACGCUCAUGCACGAAAGCGUGGGGAGCAAACAGG